GAUGAAGAACGUAGCGAAAUGCGAUACUUGGUGUGAAUUGCAGAAUCCCGUGAACCAUCGAGUCUUUGAACGCAAGUUGCGCCCGAAGCCAUUAGGCCGAGGGCACGCCUGCCUGGGCGUCACACGUCGUUGCCCCCCCAUCUACUCCUUCGGGAUUGCGGGGGGCGGAUGAUGGCCUCCCGUGCGCCUCGUCGCGCGGUUGGCAUAAAUAACAAGUCCUCGGCGGCCAACGCCGCGACAAUCGGUGGUUGUCAAACCUCGGUGUCCUGUCGCGCGCGCGUCGUCCGGGGCUUUUUCCAAUCUAAUGCGCGUCGAUUCGUCGGCGCUUUCAACGCGACCCCAGGUCAGGCGGGGUUACCCGCUGAAUUUAAGCAUAUCAAUAAGCGGAGGA
rnacentral:misc_RNA from 1 species